UACGUAGGUGGCAAGCGUUGUCCGGAAUUAUUGGGCGUAAAGCGCGCGCAGGCGGUCCCUUAAGUCUGAUGUGAAAGCCCACGGCUCAACCGUGGAGGGUCAUUGGAAACUGGGGGACUUGAGUGCAGAAGAGGAAAGUGGAAUUCCAUGUGUAGCGGUGAAAUGCGUAGAGAUGUGGAGGAACACCAGUGGCGAAGGCGACUUUCUGGUCUGUAACUGACGCUGAGGCGCGAAAGCGUGGGAGCAAACAGG
rnacentral:rRNA from 1 species